GAGGAGGAGGAGGAGGAUGAUGAGUUUGACAUCCACAUCAGAUCUCCAUUAUCCAGGGCCAGAGCAUCUCCUCCACAGCCUCCACCCACCCUGAGACCUGCACAGACACUUCCAUCGCCUCCAUCCACCCUGAGAACCAGUCAGACACCACCACCUGUAACUCGCUGCUCAUUGCCUACACUGCCUCCAACUACCCUUGGUUCUAUUCGAGACAACAUGUUCAUCCGCGUUCUUUCACUGCUUGAACAAAUUAAAGAGACUCAAAAAGUCCAUGGAAAAUUACUACAAACAAUUCUUCAGCAAGGUAGCAUUGUUGGUUCAUCAAUCUUCCCAUCCACCCCAGAGGGUUUCCCGCUUAAAACUGUGGGUGAUCUGCAAUCCAUUGAACAAAAAUUGGCUGAUCAGACCUUCAUGUCCGACUUGGUUGCAGCUGUGGCAGAUAUUGGUGGGUCGACGGUGGACGAGGCCACAAGAAGAAUUAUGACUUUCCUCUUGGACAACGGUUUGUCGCGACAGUACAACCUGUUGGGCUGCAAUGGAAAACGGGAGUUCAAGGCUCUGAGGAGGUUUAAAGAAGAACGCUAUGACCUCUACAGUCACUCGUAAGGAUGGGGAAAAGGCGGUUGGGAAGUGGCUCAUUGGUACUCGGGACCGUGGAGGAGAUAGACUGGCCCGGGCAACCAAAAAUGCAACACCGGAACAAGAACCUGAAAACGAGGAAAAUUAACUCGAUAAGGCCCAUCUACGCUCACCUGGCAAAAUUGGGAAGUAACAUUUCUUAAGAUUUUUAUAAAAAGGAGACCUCAGUAUUUGAAAAAAAUGGCAAACAAAAGACUGAAAACAAACCCCCAAAAACUGCUGUAGACCAACAAGAGAGCAUUUGUUUUUCUGUCUGUAGAAUGGACCUGUCUUGUGUCUUCUAUGCAUGGAAAACCAAAAGUAACAAACAUGGUUUGAGGCUGCUUCAUACGAGAGGUGACAGGACACGAUCUGUAUUAAGAAAAGGAUGAAUAGGGUCCUAUUCUAAUCUGGAAUUUCUCAUGGUGUGCAGAAACCCUGUAUAUAUUUUACUUAAAAAGGCGGACCUUUGUUAAAGAGUUUGACAAAAUACUUUUAUUUAUGUAUACUUUAAGUGUUUUUUUUUUGUUUUUUUUUGGCCAGUUCUAAAGGUUAAUUCAAUCUGGGUAAUGUGAAUCUUGGUAAUGUAAAAUGUACAUGUGUAAUGGGAGGCGUAAUUUGAAUAUGCUUAUGUUUUUAAAUGUAUUAGUUGUUUUACAU